ACUCAAAUGAAUUGACGGGGGCCCGCACAAGCGGCGGAGCAUGUGGAUUAAUUCGAUGCAACGCGGAGAACCUUACCUGGCCUUGACAUGCACAGGACGCGCUCAGAGAUGGGUGUUCCCUUGUGGUCUGUGUGCAGGUGGUGCAUGGCUGUCGUCAGCUCGUGUCGUGAGAUGUUGGGUUAAGUCCCGCAACGAGCGCAACCCUCGCCCUAUGUUGCCAGCGCGUGAUGGCGGGGACUCGUGGGGGACUGCCGGGGUGAACUCGGAGGAAGGUGGGGAUGACGUCAAGUCUGUAUGUCCCUUACGGCCAGGGCUUCACACAUGCUACAAUGGCCAGUUACAGCGGGAUGCGAGACCGUGAGGUGGAGCGAAUCCCUGAAAGCUGGUCUCAGUUCGGAUCGUAGUCUGCAACUCGACUACGUGAAGUUGGAGUCGCUAGUAAUCGCAGAUCAGCAGUGCUGCGGUGAAUACGUUCCCGGGCCUUGCACACACCGCCCGU
rnacentral:rRNA from 1 species